UUAUAAUAAAAGCUCUCACUAUGUGGCAGGCACUAUUAUAAGCAUGUCAAAUGUAUUGAUUCAUUUAAGCCUGUUGUACAGGCAGAUAAUACUAUUACUAUGAGAUGUUACAGAUGUGGCGACAGAAGCACAGACAGGUUAAGCCACUCACCUGUAGUCACACAGCUGGUAGGGGGUGGACCUACAGGUAGUUGGUGCUUGGUGGCUCCAGAGCUAACACUGACCAGCAUGGGGACAUUAUUGAAUUACUAUACAGUGAGCCUUCCCUGCAGCCAUGGAAGCAUGUUGUUUCCAAACUUGGUCCAAGGGGAUAAGCAGGUUCAGCGAGUGCAGCUAGAGCUGGAGCCGGAAGCCAGGCAGCACCAUAUGCUGGGCUUUCACCAGAUAAUCAACUCCCAAUCCCUUCUGGGGCACCGUUUGAUGAAUAUGAAAUGCUUGGAUUUUUUCCUAAGCUAACAAAGAUGAUAAGACUCCCUGUUAGAGGAAGACCUGGAAGAAGAUUAUUCCAAGCAGAGAGCAGCAAUUGCAGAACCCUGUCGUGCUUCCAUUUCAUCCUCCAAUAUGGCCCCCAGGAAAAAUAGAUGGACAUGGAAAGUGACCAGUGACCACGCCAGGUCAGUCAAAUUGUAGGACCAAUCACAGCCACAAUUCCAGAUGUGGUAUAUUUGCAGGAAC
ensembl:lincRNA